rnacentral:rRNA from 1 species
GUAGGGUGCGAGCGUUAUCCGGAAUCAUUGGGCGUAAAGAGCUCGUAGGCGGUUCAGCAAGUCGGCUGUGAAAUUCCGAGGGCUCAACCUCGGAACUGCAGCAGAUACUGCUGUGACUCGAGUCCGGUAGAGGAGAAUGGAAUUCCCGGUGUAGCGGUGAAAUGCGCAGAUAUCGGGAGGAACACCAGUAGCGAAGGCGGUUCUCUGGGCCGGCACUGACGCUGAGGAGCGAAAGCGUGGGUAGCAAACAGGAUUAGAUACCCUGGUAGUCCACGCCGUAAACGUUGGAUACUAGGUGUGGGGUUCCGACCAACGGUCCCCGUGCCGAAGCUAACGCAUUAAGUAUCCCGCCUGGGGAGUACGGCCGCAAGGCUA